UAUCAAAAACAUGUCUUGAUGAUUUAAAUAUUAAGUCUGACCUGCCCAAUGAUUUUGAUUUAAUGGCCGCAGUAAUUUAACUGUGCAAAGGUAGCAUAAUAAUUAGUCUUUUAAUUGAAGACUAGAAUGAAAGGUUUAACGAAAUAUAGUCUUUAUUAUAUUAAAAUGUAUAAUUUUAUUUUUUAGUGAAAAAGCUAAGAUUAUAAUAUUAGACGAGAAGACCCUAUAGAUUUUUAUAAUAAUUAUAGUAAGUGUAAUUAGAAUUUAAUAUGUUUAUUUAUAUAAAUUAUUUUGUUGGGGUGACAGUAAAAUUAAAUAAAUUUUUAUAUUAUUUAUACAUUAAUUAAUGAGUUUUUGAUCCAUUUUUAUGAUAGUUAAAUUAAAUUACCUUAGGGAUAACAGCAUAAUUUCCUUGGAAAGUUCUUAUUGAUAGGGGAGAUUAUGACCUCGAUGUUGGAUUAGGAUUAAUUUUAGGUGCAGAAGUUUAAAAAUUAAGUCUGUUCGACUUAUAAAAUCUUACAUGAUCUGAGCUCA
rnacentral:rRNA from 1 species